rnacentral:rRNA from 1 species
AGAGUUUGAUCCUGGCUCAGAACGAACGCUGGCGGCAGGCUUAACACAUGCAAGUCGAGCGGAAAGGCCCUUCGGGGUACUCGAGCGGCGAACGGGUGAGUAACACGUGAGUAACCUGCCCCUGGCUCUGGGAUAGCCUCCGGAAACGGGGAUUAAUACCGGAUAUUCACUUCCUUCCGCAUGGUUGGUGGUGGAAAGUUUUUCGGCCAGGGUGGGGCUCGCGGCCUAUCAGCUUGCUGGUGGGGUGAUGGCCUACCAGGGCGACGACGGGUAGCCGGCCUGAGAGGGCGGGCGGCCACACUGGGACUGAGACACGGCCCAGACUCCUACGGGAGGCAGCAGUGGGGAAUAUUGCGCAAUGGGCGGAAGCCUGACGCAGCGACGCCGCGUGCGGGAUGAAGGCCUUCGGGUCGUAAACCGCUUUCACCAGGGACGAAGCUAACGUGACGGUACCUGGGGAAGAAGCGCCGGCUAACUACGUGCCAGCAGCCGCGGUAAU